UACGGUAGGGGCAAGCGUUGUCCGGAUUUAUUGGGCGGUAAAGCGCACGCAGGCGGUGCGGUAAGUUUAACAAGUCGACAGGGUGGUGGCUUAACUGCCACAGGACUUGAAAACUGCCGCACUUGGAGGGCUUGAGAGGGACGCGGAAUUCCAGGUGGAGCGGUGAAAUGCGUAGGGAUCUGGAAGAACACCAAAGGCGAAGGCAGCGUCCUGGCGAGUCACUGACGCUCAGGUGCGAAAGCUAGGGGAGCGAACGGG
rnacentral:rRNA from 1 species